rnacentral:rRNA from 1 species
CGGGUCCUUCGGGAUGCCGGCGAGCCGGCGGGACGGGUGAGUAAUGCCUAGGAAUCUGCCUGGUAGUGGGGGAUAACUCGGGGAAACUCGAGCUAAUACCGCAUACGUCCUACGGGAGAAAGCGGGGGAUCUUCGGACCUCGCGCUACCAGAUGAGCCUAGGUCGGAUUAGCUAGUUGGUGAGGUAAAGGCUCACCAAGGCGACGAUCCGUAGCUGGUCUGAGAGGAUGAUCAGCCACACUGGAACUGAGACACGGUCCAGACUCCUACGGGAGGCAGCAGUGGGGAAUAUUGGACAAUGGGCGCAAGCCUGAUCCAGCCAUGCCGCGUGUGUGAAGAAGGUCUUCGGAUUGUAAAGCACUUUAAGUUGGGAGGAAGGGCAGUAAGUUAAUACCUUGCUGUUUUGACGUUACCGACAG